rnacentral:piRNA from 1 species
UCACAAGUGUCUGACGUGUCGGGUGG